rnacentral:lncRNA from 1 species
GAGCAGAGAGAUUAGAAAAACCCACCAUAAAUGUGGGUCUUUCAUUAUGAGUAAUCAGACUUUAUGAAUCGUCCCCUUGACAGACUUCUGGUCCCCUGUUCAGUCUCACACUCGGUGGGUCCCGGGAAACAGCUUCUUCUGCCUCCUCGUCCAUGAUGCAGCAGCUCUGCUACCUUGCAAUCACUUUCUCGUGCACCCUGUGUUUCGCACCUUUGCUGCGUUCCUUAGGGUGCAAUGAAACACAAUAUCGCAGCAGUCAUGGUGAACAAAGCUGCUGUAACAAGUGUCGGCCAGGUCACUAUGUGGUUCAGCACUGUACUGCCUCCUCUCCGACUAAGUGCAAGCCGUGCGAGGAUCAGCGCUACAUUCAGACGUACAACAUGGAGUGGAGCUGCGACUUUUGUGGAAGCUGCAGUGCAUCAAACAUGGAGUACAAGUCACACUGCAACGCCACCCAUGACUCUGUGUGCAAAUGUAAACCGGGCUAUGAAUGCACAGACCGGCCCUGCACGCAGUGUCGGCCGGUGUCGCCGACCACCAGACCCCCACCCCCUGUAACACCUGUCACUGUCAUCACCGUGGAAACAAGCAAAGAUACGCUGUGGCUAAUGCAAAUGGCUGCUUUUCUGUUGAUAACAGUUGCAGUGUGUGUUGUCUUGAAAAAAAAAGCAGGUCAGCAGUGGAUCACAUCCAAAUGUGGUUACCUGUUGGCUAAAACACAUGAGCCGGUGUCACCGUGCUCCGAUGAUGAGGAAGUAACAAAGCCUGUGCAGGAAGCUGGGAAUUUUGCUAAAAUCGAAAUAGAUCCUUGA